UAGUGGAAAAAAGGCUUGAUGGCCAUUUUUUUGUUGGCUAUUGAAGUGCUGAUGCGUGUGUUUCGGAGAUGUUUAUGAGGACCUGACAGGGUGUUUAAGAAAGAAGGAACCAUCUCUACUUCCUGAGAGGCAGAGAGGAGGAGGAGGAGACAAUAUGCUGAGCAACCUUUUCACCAUGCUGAGACAGUUCACUGAGAGCAACUUCCAGUCAUCGGCCAUGUUUGAUGUUACCGAGACGACAACGGACGCAGAGGGUGGGAGUUCAGAGAGCACUUUGGGCUCGUCCGUCACGGCCUGCAAGAAGGUACACAACUCAGUGUGUGUGUGUGUGUGUGUGUGUGACUGAUGUUUGCAUGAAUUAAUAGUGAGAUGGAUUAUUUGCCUUUCAUAAACUUAACAACAGGGCAGUAUAAAGAAAUGGAAAGAGUGAGAGACACACACAGUACAAGAGAGAGAUGGAGAGAAAGUGUGACAU